rnacentral:rRNA from 1 species
UACGUAGGGGGCUAGCGUUGUCCGGAUUUAUUGGGCGUAAAGAGCGUGUAGGCGGCCAGAUAGGUCUGCUGUGAAAACUCGAGGCUCAACCUCGAGAUGUCGGCGGAAACCAUUUGGCUAGAGUCCGGAAGAGGAAAGUGGAAUUCCUGGUGUAGCGGUGAAAUGCGCAGAUAUCAGGAGGAACACCAAUUGCGAAGGCAGCUCGCUGGGACGUUACUGACGCUGAGACGCGAAAGCGUGGGGAGCAAACAGG